AGUUGGAUUUUUGUACUUUUUUUGGAUUGGAUCUUUUCUUUAGUGUUGGCAGAGAUGUUAUAUAUUACUUUUUUUUGUUUUUGGCAGUCAAUCGAAGAGAUAAGUUUUGCAGCAGAAUCUCAGCCAAAACAAGUUGGAUUUUUUUAAUUCCUAAUGUUGUUUCCGCAAUCUGUUUUUGUGAUGUGAUGUGUGAGGCACAAAUUUAUUUGCGAUUGGUCUUUCAACAAUCUUGAGAAUUUACGACGCUGUAGCACUAUUUUAGCUUUGAAGGAUCCAAUCUUCUGAUCAACAAAAGUAACUGCUGCUAAGAUGACAGUAAACGAAAUAUGAUUUAUACCUUUCAAUUAUGACAUGGUUGAGACAUUCCAAAGCAUCUUAUCAGAGGAGUUAUUAACUCAUUAUAAUGGUUGGUUUGCUCCAUUAUUGUCACUGCAGGGAAUGCCCUGAGGAAUGUAAGGAAGCUAUUGCACCACUAAUGCAUGCUGCAGCUAGAUUUUCUGGUUUACCAAAGUACAUUGUUUGACAUUAGGCAACUAUUUCAAGAGAGAGAUGCGAACUGUCUAACUCAUUGUGUAGAUCAAAAGUUUUUCAUGUGCUCUACUGCAUCACAACCUUGGCUUUGGGAAGGCACAAGCAGAAAGGCUUAGGUACGCAACGGAUACUUCUGGAGCCAGUCAUCAGUUUUCGUUUGGAUUGUACGUAAAGCACAACAUUGAAGUUGAGCUUUAUUGUAUUGUUAAUAGGAAUUUCCGCUUGC